ACGUGUAGCAGUGAAAUGCGUAGAUAUGCGGAGGAACACCGAUGGCGAAGGCAGCCCCCUGGGAUAAUACUGACGCUCAUGCACGAAAGCGUGGGGAGCAAACAGGAUUAGAUACCCUGGUAGUCCACGCCCUAAACGAUGUCAACUAGCUGUUGGGGCCUUCGGGCUUUAGUAGCGCAGCUAACGCGUGAAGUUGACCGCCUGGGGAGUACGGUCGCAAGAUUAAAACUCAAAGGAAUUGACGGGGACCCGCACAAGCGGUGGAUGAUGUGGAUUAAUUCGAUGCAACGCGAAAAACCUUACCUACCCUUGACAUGUCUGGAAUCCCGAAGAGAUUUGGGAGUGCUCGCAAGAGAACUGGAACACAGGUGCUGCAUGGCUGUCGUCAGCU
rnacentral:rRNA from 1 species